GCGGCUGAUAGGAAAUGUGAAAAUAGCCAACCACAGUGCAACAUAACAUGCAGACUUCACUCACACACUGCAUUAACAAAUGAUUGCACGGCUUUACCAAGCAGCAGGCAUCAGAGGGAUGUCUUUUUGAAUUCAGCAGAUGAAUGGAUAACAAUGGAUUCCAAUCAGACAAUGAGUACCAUAUCUUUAGCCACAUUUUCAAUAAUGGUCGUGUUGUCCAUCCUGUGGUGUUUUAUUUUUUUAUUGAUAUUCAGUAUCUGCUUGUUUUUGUUGAAAAUCCCGCAGAACAAAACACAAAAAUCACAGAUAAAAACUCCGGAAGAUGAGGUCACAGAUGCAGAUGUUUCUUUAAAUGAGGUCUCUGAAACGAGGAAGAAACGAGAAAAAAAUAAAAGUUACAAAGAGAGGGUGAA